rnacentral:rRNA from 1 species
UACGGGGGGGGCAAGCGUUGUUCGGAAUUACUGGGCGUAAAGGGCUCGUAGGUGGCCAACUAAGUCAGACGUGAAAUCCCUCAGCUUAACUGGGGAACUGCGUCUGAUACUGGAUGGCUUGAGUUUGGGAGAGGGAUGCGGAAUUCCAGGUGUAGCGGUGAAAUGCGUAGAGAUCGGGAGGAACACCAGAGGCGAAGGCGGCGACCUGGACAGGUACUGACACUCAACUACGAAAGCGUGGGGAGCAAACAGG